AUCUUUUAUUUUUUUUUAAAUAAAAAAUAAUAAAAAAUAUAAAAAUAUAUGUUUUAAUAAUAAUAUUUCCUGUAAAAUAGACCGAGAUUUAAUUUGAAUAAAUACAUCUAACUUUGGUACGUUACACAUUGACAUGAUAAAGAAAAUGAUAAAAAAUAUUUGAAAAUAUAUAAAAAAAUUAUAUAUUUUUUUCAAAUUUCGCAUUUUUUAAUUGAUUUAGUCAGUGUCAUAUCAUGUCUGAUGUUUGCAAAAAGAUAGCUUGCCAGAGCUUAGGUUGCAAACGAUGAUUCUCAGCCAUUAACUAAGUUAAUCAUUCAAUUGUCAGCCGGCCUCUUCCCAAUCAUUCAAGUCUUAUAUAUCAUGUCUCAUGUCUUAUUGGUCUUUUUCAUUCUUAAAAGAGUUUUAUGUCUACUUAUUUUUUUGUAAAAUUUAUUAUUUUUUCAAUCUUCAUUGAUUAAAAAAAUUUCAGCUGCUUCUUAAUCACUCAAUUUUAGAAGUCAUAACAUCGUUAAUCACAGUAAUUAAUUAUAGGUAGUCUCUAUCUCUUCAAAUUAUUUAACCUUUCAACUAACUCUCAAUAUGAAGAUAAUGUUCAUGUGGGUUUGGUGAUAGAGGUCUAAUUCUGCAAUCUUUUUUUAUUAUUCUGGUCUUUUCACAUUAUAAAAAUAAUUAAUAUUAUAUUAAUAAUUUUUACAAGAAAAAGAAACUUAAUUAAUUAGAAAGGACAACUACUUGUAUAAUAUUGAAGAAAAUGGUUUUUCUUUUUUAAUUUCUCAUGUUAAUCAGAAAGUUACAAAGAAUUCCCAUUUCAUGUGAAAUAAGAAUGAAAUCAAUAGGUGUGAUGAAUAUUUGGAAAUGGCAGGUGGAUGAAUCUCUUAGGGCAGAGGAAGUGGAGGUUUACUAUGAGCCUGCAGAAUUAUUUGGUGGCCUAUUGAAAGGACAAUCCAUUUCAGAAUCUCAAUCACAAGAUGACACUACAAGAAUUCCAACACCAACUCAUGCCUGUCCAUUCUCCAACUAAUCCUAUCCAUUCUUUCACUUGUUUCUCUUCCAUUUUAAUUUUCAGCAGUAUAUUUCAUCUAUCUAUAUAUAAACGUUUUAAAACAAUAUAUAAUGCCAUAGUUGCUGUCACAAACUUGCAGUGUGCUGGUCAGCUGGUUUGUUAUUUUUCUUUCGUGAAGCUCUUGGGUUUUGUUGUUUUAUUGGCAUUCUAGGGCCGCUUAGUUGGAAUUAAUCAUUGGAGCUUGGUUUGGGUCUGAUGCUAUCCUCUUCAUCUGCUGCAAUGUAUUUGGUCUCGAGUGCUGUUUUCUGUUCUGAAAUUGAGCAGCCCUGUAUUUCUUUGGAUUUGUGUCUUGGUUGUUUUGGUGUAUUGUUCUCCUGACAGGUUUUUCCUGUCCUUCAUUUAAUAAAAUCUAUUACAUAUAAAAAAACAAUUUAACACCA
rnacentral:misc_RNA from 1 species